rnacentral:lncRNA from 1 species
CGCCAGCCUACACAAGGCCAUGUCAACGCCUCGACGCAGGGUUCAUCAUCCGUCUUCGUCGGGUAAGCAAAGCGAUCCACCUUUCCUCUUUCUCAUCAGAUCCAUUUUAUUGUGAUAUUGCAUUUAAGUCAAUCAAUUUUUAUGAUUCUUUCGGUGUUAAAGAAAAUGGAUUUUUACCUGAAUAAAUUUCGUGUAUAGAUAUGUAGAGGAUGAACUCAACAAGCGGAUCUUUCAAGGUUAAUUAGCCAAGCGGAUCUUUCAAGGUUAAUUAGCUUUGCACAUUUUAUUAAAUAGAUGCAGUGGCAUAGCACCUUCAAUAUCAUGCUUGCACUCACAUGUUUUCCAACAGCACCAUGAAUGCUGCCCAGAAUUGCCAUGCCUUCCGCUUUCGCUAUAAGUUCCUAUGCUGCUCCCUGCCCCCUCCUCCUGUCACGUGUGUUGUUUCCCUUGUCAUCAGUGAGCUCUAGAAAACAACUGCAAGGUACAGAAUAGUUGCCACUUAGUUAGCAUUUUAGUUAAUAGUGUAGACAUGUUAGUAACACUAUAAUGUUGGACAAUAAAUGAAUUCGACAACAUCCGCACGAACUUAUCUUGCUUCCAAGAAUAGUAAAAUCAUCUUUAAUAAUUUCCCUGAUUUUGCUUAUAUUCAUGUUUCUUAACAUGUUUAGAAUGUUGUUUUCUCCAAAAUGCAGCACUUACCUUCCAUUUGGAGCACAUGAUGCAUUUUUUCAUCAUUUGCUAACUGAAAAAACCAUUUUUCUGAUAAAAUGCAAUCCAUCAGUUAAGACUUAAUUAAUUGCCUUCUAGACACACCUUCAAAUAUAUACAAGUUCUCUGAUAAGGUAGUCGUGCGAAGACUGUAUUUUUGGUUUACAUUGUUAAUGUUUUCAGUGACCACAAAUUUGACUUUCUUUUUUGCUUCUUUUCAGCUUUCAGGUUCUAAAUGAGAAGGUAAGGAUGUAGUUGAGCUGCAUGAGAAAACCCAGUUCCAUUAUCUCAGAAGCCAGAAGUUUCCCAUUUAAUAUCUUUGGUUCUAAAAUUUGUUUAAGAAAAUGGCCAUUUUGCUAUUAGCACCAUGAUUAUGUGUCAAUUGUAGAUUCUUAAUUGCUUAGAAUUAUUUUAUAUGUUUGAUUCCUUCGGUUCAUAUUUAUUCAACAACAAAAUAGUUUCAAGAUUGGUCCGUUUGAGGAUCAAACUUCGAACAUGUGAAUUGAUGUGGCAUCAAGCUAAGUCCGUUGAUACAUUGCUAUCCUUUUUUGCUUUGCACAAUUAAUCUUGUCACUAGAGAUGUAUGUAAAUCCUCUAGCUUUGCUUAUUUUAUCUUUUUAUUUCAGCUUAUAGAAUAUCGUGCCAUGCGUUCACAAAUUACAUGGUCAUGUGGGUGG